CAAAUCAAUCUUGUUUUUUUUAUCUCCAAAUCAAUCCCUAAGCAAAUCAAUCUCUAUGCAAAUCUACCUACCCAAAUCUUCUUCUGACCUACCCAAAUCUACCCCGUUCCCGUCAAAUCCAAAUCGAUCCCUACCAAAUUAAUCCAAAUCUGCCUCUUUGUUAUUCAAAUUUUUCCCUCUUCUUCCCGUCAAUCCAAAUCCGCCUCUCUUCUUCAGAUUUUCCCUCUUUCACUUUGUUUUUUUUUUCAUGUUUGUGCGAUAUCAUCUUUCAUGCCAUCGGCGAUCGAAGCCCCAGCAUUUCGUUGUUGCCUGCGUUGUCCUCGAUCUCAGUUUCAUAUUCUUGGUAUACAUAAGUAGCAGAGGAAGAAAGUUGCUUGGAAUUAAAUUUUCAUAUUAUGUUAAUUUUUAAUUAUUUUUGUUUUAAAAUUUAAUGUUACUAUCAUUAAAUGUAUUGUUAUUAUGUACUUAGUUACACUAAAAAAAGUCGGAGAUUUGUGAUUGACAUUAAUUUUAUUUUAUGUGAUUAAUUGAAUUUUUUUUGAA